AAUUAUAUGUAAAACUAAAUGUUGUUUUAGUUUUUAGAAAAAUGUUUCUUGCAUGACCGUAUGAAAAUAAGGACUUCCGGGGUUGCGUGAAAUGGUGAGAAAGGAGAGAGUGAGGAGAGAGAGAGAGAGAGAGGAACUCGAGAAGGCUGAGGGGAAAGACGUCCAGUAACGGCAGAGUGGAAAAGCUGAGACAAUUGUGGACUUUUUUGAAUGACUUUUGGUGAAAGUGCUCAGAAAAAGGACUUGGGGGACGUCAAUCGUCAUUGUUGGAUGUCUUUGAGUGGUCUACUCAAGCGGAACGAGUGGAGCUGGUCGCUAAAAAAGAGGCUAACAGUCGCUCGUGGCUAACCCAGAAGCUAGCGGACGCCUGUCGCUAGCAAAAAAGCUAACGGACACUCGUGGUGAGCCCAGACACUUGGCUAGACGUGUAGCGACCUGCUAAACAAGUGAGCUAAGCGUUUGUGGACGAACCAACCGGGAGAAAGGACAACCCGAAGCCGACGAGGAGGACGACGCCGACCCGCCGACGGAGAGGGACUCUAUGGGCAUUGUAAGCAAGUUGGAGCGUCACUUUUUCAACGAACAUCUGCCUUUCGGAGUGUUUGGAGGAAACGGCAUACAUAAAGGGCGUUGUGUGUCGCACAAGAAGUACGCCACUACGAGACAAAACAUGAAAAUUCAUGGAAAACAGAGCCAGGGAUCACAUCUAGAUAGUUGGGUGCAAAACCGGGGACUGAGAUGAGUGGAAGAGGAGCCUGAGAGGGGCGGUUUGCAGCCAGAGCCCUCUCUGUUUUUUGGAACAACAAAUAGAGGAAAAAAAACAAGCUUGUUGAAUUAAAUGAGCAAUGCAACGAAAAAUUGACCAGAUCUUUAAGAGAAAGAAAAGAAUU